rnacentral:rRNA from 1 species
UAGUGGCGAACGGGUGAGUAACACGUGGGCAAUCUGCCCUUCACUCUGGGACAAGCCCUGGAAACGGGGUCUAAUACCGGAUAAUACUUUCUCUCUCAUGGGGGAAGGUUAAAAGCUCCGGCGGUGAAGGAUGAGCCCGCGGCCUAUCAGCUAGUUGGUGGGGUAAUGGCCUACCAAGGCGACGACGGGUAGCCGGCCUGAGAGGGCGACCGGCCACACUGGGACUGAGACACGGCCCAGACUCCUACGGGAGGCAGCAGUGGGGAAUAUUGCACAAUGGGCGAAAGCCUGAUGCAGCGACGCCGCGUGAGGGAUGACGGCCUUCGGGUUGUAAACCUCUUUCAGCAGGGAAGAAGCGAAAGUGACGGUACCUGCAGAAGAAGCGCCGGCUAACUACGUGCCAGCAGCCGCGGUAAUACGUAGGGCGCAAGCGUUGUCCGGAAUUAUUGGGCGUAAAGAGCUCGUAGGCGGCUUGUUGCGUCGGUUGUGAAAGCCCGGGGCUUAACCCCGGGUCUGCAGUCGAUACGGGCAGGCUAGAGUGUGGUAGGGGAGAUCGGAAUUCCU